rnacentral:rRNA from 1 species
CAUAUCAACUUUCGAUGCCAUUUACUGCGCCUACCAUGGUGACCACGGGUAAUGGGGAAUCAGAGUUCAAUUCCG